rnacentral:rRNA from 1 species
CCUACGGGAGGCAGCAGUGGGGAAUAUUGCACAAUGGGGGAAACCCUGAUGCAGCGACGCCGCGUGAGUGAAGAAGGAAUUCGGGAUGGAAAGCUCUAUCAGCAGGGAAGAAAAGGACGGUACCUGAGUAAGAAGCCACGGAUAACAACGGGCAAGCAGGCGCGGUAAUACGUAGGGGGCAAGCGUGAGCCGGAUUUACGGGGGGGAACGGGAGCGGAGACGGCAGUGCAAGUCGGGAGUGAAAGGCGGGGGCUCAACCCCCGGACUGCUCUGGAAACUGUCCGGCGGGAGUGCAGGAGAGGUUAGUGGCCUUCCUCGUGUAGCCGUGCAAUCCGUAGAUAUUAGGAGGCACACCAGUGGCGAAGGCGUCUUACUGGACUGUAACUGCCGUUGAGGCUCGAACGCGUGGGUAGCACACAGGAUUAGCUACCCGUGUAGUC